rnacentral:rRNA from 1 species
AACGAACGCUGGCGGCAUGCCUAACACAUGCAAGUCGAACGAGACCUUCGGGUCUAGUGGCGCACGGGUGCGUAACGCGUGGGAACCUGCACUUAGGUUCGGAAUAACUCUCCGAAAGGGGUGCUAAUACCGGAUAAUGUCUUCGGACCAAAGAUUUAUCGCCUUUGGAUGGGCCCGCGUUGGAUUAGCUAGUUGGUAGGGUAAAAGCCUACCAAGGCGACGAUCCAUAGCUGGUUUGAGAGGAUGAUCAGCCACACUGGGACUGAGACACGGCCCAGAAUCCUACGGGAGGCAGCAGUGGGGAAUAUUGGACAAUGGGCGAAAGCCUGAUCCAGCAAGGCCGCGUGAGUGAUGAAGGCCUUAGGGUUGUAAAGCUCUUUUACCCGGGAUGAUAAUGACAGUACCGGGAGAAUAAGCUCCGGCUAACUCCGUG